rnacentral:tRNA from 1 species
GGCACAGUGGUGCAGUGGGUAGCACUGUCGGCUUCACAGCAAAAGGCGGCACUGGGUUCAAAUCUCUGUUUGGGUCU